UACUAUAUAAUGCAAUCACAGCAGCCAUGAUCAAGACUAGUACAGCACAAGGCAAUACUUUUAAUAGGCUAAUCCAUGUCUGAUCGAACCAAUCAUAUUGUUUACAAUGACAGAAAGACUGGAACCAACCAAGCAUUCUUGAAUAGUAGUCAGACUCCAGUCCAAUUCUGAUCAUUUAUUAAUUGGUCUUUAAACCAAUCAGAUAAGAGCUUUUUGCCAGUACUUGGGCAAAAUAUCAGAAUUGGGCUGCCUGUGUAAACACAGCCGUUGUGUAGUACUUGAAAAGUGAACAGACACCAAUGCAUUGACUGUAGGGCCUAGGUAUUGUUGGUGUCAGUUGACUGUAGGGCCUAGGUAUUGUUGGUGUCAGUUGACUGUAGGGCCUAGGUAUUGUUGGUGUCAGUUGACUGUAGGGCCUAGGUAUUGUUGGUGUCAGUUGACUGUAGGGCCUAGGUAUUGUUGGUGUCAGUUGACUGUAGGGCCUAGGUAUUGUUGGUGUCAGUUGACUGUAGGGCCUAGGUAUUGUUGGUGUCAGUUGACUGUAGGGCCUAGGUAUUGUUGGUGUCAGUUGACUGUAGGGCCUAGGUAUUGUUGGUGUCAGUUGACUGUAGGGCCUAGGUAUUGUUGGUGUCAGUUGACUGUAGGGCCUAGGUAUUGUUGGUGUCAGUUGACUGUAGGGCCUAGGUAUUGAUGGUGUCAGUUGACUGUGUGUUUGUCAUGUGUUUUGUGCCUGCAAUCUCUCAAAUGUCUUACAUUGUUCUUUGGGAAAUUAACAAAAAGAAAGAUCUCUUUUAUACUUUGAAUAAUGCAUUAUUUCUCUGUCCAUCUUAUGAAUAACGGUUUUGUGGGAAUGUUCAUGUUGCCUUGCAAUAAACAACUGUUUGAACCUUGUA